UACGUAGGGGGCAAGCGUUGUCCGGAUUUAUUGGGCGUAAAGAGCUCGUAGGUGGUUUGGUAAGUCGGAUGUGAAAUCUCCAGGCUCAACCUGGAGGGGUCAUUCGAUACUGCCAUGACUAGAGGUCGGUAGGGGAGUGUGGAAUUCCUGGUGGAGCGGUGAAAUGCGUAGAUAUCUGGAGGAACACCGGUGGCGAAGGCGGCGUUCUGGACUGCUACUGACACUGAGGAACGAAAGCCAGGGGAGCAAACAGG
rnacentral:rRNA from 1 species